UAGAUCAGAUAUGGAAGUUUUAAUUGUGCCC
rnacentral:piRNA from 1 species